GGGCGUGUGGCUCAGUUGGUAGAGCGUUCGCUUAGCAUCUUCUCGUCUUCUCGACGAGUUCCCGUGAUGCGAAAGGUCCUGGGUUCGAUUCCCAGCCCGUCCA